GACGGGGGGGGCAAGUGUUCUUCGGAAUGACUGGGCGUAAAGGGCACGUAGGCGGUGAAUCGGGUUGAAAGUGAAAGUCGCCAAAAAGUGGCGGAAUGCUCUCGAAACCAAUUCACUCGAGUGAGACAGAGGAGAGUGGAAUUUCGUGUGUAGGGGUGAAAUGCGUAGAGAUGUGGAGGAACACCGAUGGCGAAGGCAGCCCCCUGGGCUGAGAUUGACGCUCAGGCACGAAAGCGUGGGGAGCAAACAGG
rnacentral:rRNA from 1 species